rnacentral:lncRNA from 1 species
GCUGGUUCGUCGCCGCGCGCUACCCGCCCGCCGCGGUCCAAGUGUUCGUCGAGAACGAGUGGUUUCACUUCGGCAGUACUGCAAGAUAUUUUCUCAACGAGCUCAACGCAUCAAGUGACGUGGUUUCGGUUUUAUGCAGAAUGUUCUUAGCGGGGAAUGUGCCUAUUACAUCGGGCUCGCGCGAGCAGUGGUUGGACCUGAACGUAGCGACGCGGCGCCUGACGCUCAUGCUGGACCAUGCUAGCCGCCGCACGCUGCGUCUCACCAGACCGCGCACCACCAGCUGCGACGCGCUCGUCGUCGGCGAGGACAACGCCGAGCUCGCCCGCAUGUACACGUGAGUCACACCAGU